AGCCUCUAGAUCGCUGCCGUUCAGAGUCGGAUGUCAUGGGGGCGACUGGCAGGGGUUCUUUCUUCUUUCGGUUUGAUACAUCCUUCCUUCCGCUGCUCCUCGCAAUCAACCGCUAGGGGAAGGAGGGAAGCAGGCAGGAGGGAGAGCGGGAGACUUCCGGAAAUCCCUUUCCUCCCUUCCCUUCACAGGUUGCCCCGUAGUGACCCUGGAGACUCCCGCCUGCCCCCAGUGAAGGAAUUGGUUACUCUCCCAGAGCCCUCCCGGGGGGCAUCGCUCCCUUCCUCACUUCCUCCUCUUCCUGCCCCCAGCCUCCACCCCUCCAGCCUCCUGCGGCUUCACAGCCAAGUACCCCAUCUCAGGAAGAAGGAGUUGGAGCUCCGUGAUGGUGAGCUUUCAGACUUCCCACUACAACCCCCGCCUCCCCAAAGGCACAGAGGCAAGCAGUGGCUUCCCUGGUAUCAUCUGUGAAUCUAGGAGCAUGAGGGAGCUAUCGAAGAUGGCAUGUAGCCUGUUCUUCUUUCUCUUACCAUUCAAAAACAGAUGAGAUGGGGACAGAUUUAACCCAAAGGACAUAGUUCAACUCCUGGUCUUGACAGAGUAGAAGCCCUCAAAGAUGGAGUCUCACUCUGUUGCCAGGCUAGAAUGAAAUGGCACGAUCUUGGCUCACUGCAAUCUCCGCCUCCUGGGUUCAAGAGAUUCUCCUGCCUCAGCCUCCUGAGUUGCUGGGACUACUGGCACACACCACCACGCCCAGCUAAUUUUUGUAUUUUUAGUAGAGACAGGGUUUCACCAUGUUGGCCAGGAUGGUCUCAAUCUCUUGACCCCGUGAUCUGCCCGCCUCAGCCUCCCAAAGUGCUGGGAUUACAGGCGUGAGCCAUUGCGCCUGGCCAAUGACAGCUUCUUUGAACCUCUCUUUAACAAUCUCUUAAACCUUAUAGGUAGGCAGUUCUGAGACAGCUCGUAAUGAUCUCCCCUCCUGGUAUUCAAGCCCUGAUGUAAUCCUCUCUUCUUGAAUGUGAGCUGGACUUAGUGGUUUUCUUCUAAUCAAUUGAAUACACACAAGUGAUGAGCUGUCACUUCCAAAAUUAGUUCACACAAAGCUGUAACUUUUGUUUUGUUCACAGCCUCUCUCAAUUGCCUUCUCAGCUUGUAUGCUUUGAAGAAGCAAGCUGCAGUAUUGGAGAGGCCCAUGUGGCAAGGAAAUGAGGGUGGCCUCCAGUCAAUGGCUGGUGAGAAACUGAGACCUUCCUUCCAACAAUCAUCAAGUAACUGAAUACUCCCAACAACCAUAUGGGUUAGCUUAGAAGUGAACCUUUCUCUAGUUGAGGUUUCAGAUAAGACCACAGAUACUAUACUAAUACCUUGAUUGCAGGCUUAUGAGAAACCUUGAAAUAAGAAGACUAAGUAAAACCAUAUCUGGAUUCCUGACUUACAGAAACUGUGAGAUGAUAAAUGUGUGUUAUCUUAAGCCACAAUUUUUUGGGGUGAUUUGUUCUACAGCAAUUGACAAUGAAUACUUCAACCUAUAGUGACAA